rnacentral:rRNA from 1 species
GUACGUACAAGCAGUGGGAGCACAGGUUUACCUGUGUGACUGCGUACCUUUUGUAUAAUGGGUCAGCGACUUAUAUUUGUAGCAAGGUUAACCGAAUAGGGGAGCCGGAGGGAAACCGAGUCUUAACCGGGCGUUAAGUUGCAGGGUAUAGACCCGAAACCCGGUGAUCUAGCCAUGGGCAGGUUGAAGGUUGGGUAACACUAACUGGAGGACCGAACCGAC